GAUGAACGCUGGCGGCGUGCCUAAUACAUGCAAGUCGAGCGAACAGACGAGAGUGCUUGCGCUCUCUGACGUUAGCGGCGGACGGGUGAGUAACACGUGGGUAACCUACCUAUAAGACUGGGAUAACUUCGGGAAACCGGAGCUAAUACCGGAUAAUAUUUAGCUUCGCAUGAAGCAAUAGUGAAAGACGGUUCUGCUGUCACUUAUAGAUGGACCCGCGGUGUAUUAGCUAGUUGGUGAGGUAACGGCUCACCAAGGCAACGAUACAUAGCCGACCUGAGAGGGUGAUCGGCCACACUGGGACUGAGACACGGCCCAGACUCCUACGGGAGGCAGCAGUAGGGAAUCGUCCGCAAUGGACGAAAGUCUGACGGAGCAAUGCCGCGUGAGUGAAGAAGGUUUUCGGAGCGUAAAACUCUGUUGUAAGGGAAGAACAAGUACGUUAGUAACUGAACGUACCUUGACGGUACCUUACCAGAAAGCCACGGCUAACUACGUG
rnacentral:rRNA from 1 species